rnacentral:misc_RNA from 1 species
GACGGAGGGUGCAAACGUUGUUCGGAAUCACUGGGCAUAAAGCGCACGUAGGCGGCUCGUUAAGUCCGAUGUGAAAUACCACGGCUCAACCGUGGAACUGCAUCGGAUACUGGCGAGCUCGAGGAUGGUUGGGGUGAGUGGAACUCCAGGUGGAGCGGUGAAAUGCGUAGAUAUCUGGAGGAACACCGGUGGCGAAAGCGGCUCACUGGACCAUCACUGACGCUGAGGUGCGAAAGCUAGGGUAGCGAACGGG